UUCUUCUGACAGGGUCUCUAUGCAGCUCUGGCUGUUCUAGAACUCACUACAUAGACCAGGAUGGCCUUGAACUCACUUAGAUUCUCAGGCCUCUGCUUCCAGGUAGCUUGUGCUACCAUGCCCUGUGCCUGUUGUCUUUUGUUUUUUGGGUUGUUUUGUUUCUUGAAACCUUGGCAAUUGAGCCUGAGGACUCACAGAUUCUAGACAAGUGCUCUACCACUAAGCUCUAGUCAUAGCUUGUCUGUCUGUCUGUUUACUGAAUUUCUCUCCACAAUUCCCCUGGAAGAGAAAUAACUGGAGCCCAUGUUAAUCUUUCCCUGGUUCUUUUUUUGUUCCCUAUCCCCUUUCCUUGAGUGGCCUCUGAAGUAGGAGUGCUUAGCUUCCUUGCUUUUCUCCAACAGUUAGCAGAUGGUCUAUCUAGCAGUCUGCUCCUAAAGUGGAGGCUCUCAUGAGUGAGACAGCUCUGCCCUGCCCCCACCCUGAUGCUUGACUCAGUUACCACAUGGCUGUGGUUUAACCUUGACACUAACUAUCCUUGACAUUAUGAGCUAAUUAGAACCAUUUCUAUUUUGCCCUCGCUAGCUCUGGUCACCUUGAACAGUGUCCACUUCUCUGGCAUAUUUGGGUAUAUGGCAACUGUGCAUGGGAUCAAUUGCCACCUGUCGAUAACAAGAGUCCAAGUGGAAUUAUGAACAUGGCUGGCACUACACUUGGGAAAACAGAGCUGGUGGUGAUGAUUAUGAUGGCAUGGCGGACAGUAGGCUGGGCAGGGCUUUACAAAGGGAGCACAGACUUUGAUGCAUGCGGGUAUGAAAGUUCUAGUUUAAGAGCAUUAUGAGAAAACAGAAGUUAUGAUUUUGUACCGUGACCCUCCUUAUUUCUCAUCCCACUUGAAGCCUAGGAGAGCCUUUCAGAUCCUAAGCCUUCUACGCUGUCCUAUGGCUCGUACAGGCUGAUGUCUCCCCACCAAUUAGAGAAUCCCAAAAUAGCACAGCAAUUCCAACUGGCAAUCUAGGGGAAUUGUCAAGGGCCAUGAGUGACCUCCUCUCUUCACUGUUGCUCAUGCUCCUUAAAUACCAGGAAUCAAAAGAUGAAGCUCAACCAGUAGAGUCUGGUCUAUGUCCAAUACGGUCCAGGGCAAAAUGAAGAGCUGAAGACAGCCAGGACCCUCUGAUGGCCAAAGCUGCCUAUGAAUGCUUUUGUCCAGCGUUCCCCCCUCCUGUCCCUCUGCUUUUGAAAGACCCACAGAGCUGCCAAGAAUGAGUGGAAAGUUUCAAGUGCUCACAGGUGAGCCUACAACAGCCGCAGCUCAGGAUGGAGGCAAUCAAGAAGAAGAUGCAGAUGCUCAAGUUAGACAAGGAGAACGUUCUGGACCGGGCUGAGCAAGCUGAAGCUGAGCAGAAGCAAGCAGAAGAAAGAAGCAAACAGCUAGAGGAUGAAUUAGCAACCAUGCAGAAGAAGCUGAAAGGAACAGAGGAUGAGCUUGACAAGUAUUCUGAGGCUUUAAAAGAUGCCCAGGAGAAGCUGGAGCUAGCAGAGAAGAAGGCGGCUGAUGUAAGUUUUUACGGACUUGGCUUCACUACGGGUU